UUCACGGUGAUUAGAGGCUAGGGAAUGUGUGCGUCAGGGGACGUACCCAGGCAGUUGAAGACUAGAGUGAAGUGAGAGUCAUCUUCACCUUGUUUUCAGUGUUUGUGGGGAUACUUUAUGCACCUUUAAGUUCUUAAACACCCAAUGUAACAUGCUGGUUGGUCGUAUAACAUAGCUACAAGGUGUACGGUAGUGUCACUGUAACCGUAUGAACUUUUAGCCAGGCAAUUCCAGUACAGGAAACCUGUGGGUCCAACCAGAAGUAUUCCUCACUCUCCAUACAUUUCCGCAGAAUAUUGCAUUUUAAACAAUUGUGACGCUCUAAAGAGAAUGUGACGUUAAAUAACAAUAAAAACUAUGAAUAUGAAAUAAUUGAUACAGAACAUAUAUUUCAUUGCAUAUGUCAACAGAAUAUAGCUAUAAACGCGGAAGAGAAGUUUUGAAAUUGAAAUUGCGAGAGUAGAAUCCAUAAUAUGACGAAGGAAUCUCCAAGCGUUAUAAUUAACAACAAAUUGAACAAGUUCAUCAAAGGAUGCAAACCAAUUUUGACAAAUCAAAUCAAUAAUAUAUUCUCCAUUGUUCACAUCUUGCCAACGUUCCGCUAGCUUGUCAAUGCCUUUACGACAGAAAUAACCGGCCUUUGACUCGAAGAAUUCAUUGAACCAGUUUCCAGCUCCACGACGUUGUUGAACGAAAUGCCUCAUAGACAGCUGGAAAGUAACCGAAAAAGAUGGUAGUUUGAAAGCGCUGCAUCAGGAGAAUACGAUUAUGUGGAAAAUUACGAGAAAGAGAGAGAGAGAGAGAGAAGUUUGCCUUGAAACAACCCUGUUUUUGGAGACUGUAAUUAAAUCUAAACGGAAAUAUAUGGGAAAAGAACACGCCUGGUAGGCAUUCUUCAGCUGAAAUAAAAUUAACUCGAAAUUUCAGAUUGAGAAAUAAAAAUACGAAACGAGCAACGGCAUGAGAAUAAAACAAAAAAUACACAAUCACCCA
rnacentral:lncRNA from 1 species